UAGGGAAUCUUCCGCAAUGGGCGAAAGCCUGACGGAGCAACGCCGCGUGAGUGAUGAAGGUCUUCGGAUCGUAAAACUCUGUUAUUAGGGAAGAACAAAUGUGUAAGUAACUAUGCACGUCUUGACGGUACCUAAUCAGAAAGCCACGGCUAACUACGUGCCAGCAGCCGCGGUAAUACGUAGGUGGCAAGCGUUAUCCGGAAUUAUUGGGCGUAAAGCGCGCGUAGGCGGUUUUUUAAGUCUGAUGUGAAAGCCCACGGCUCAACCGUGGAGGGGCAUUGGAAACUGGAUAACUUGAGUGCAGAAGAGGAAAGUGGAAUUCCAUGUGUAGCGGUGAAAUGCGCAGAGAUAUGGAGGAACACCAGUGGCGAAGGCGACUUUCUGGUCUGUAACUGACGCUGAUGUGCGAAAGCGUGGGGAUCAAACAGG
rnacentral:rRNA from 1 species